GAUGAACGCUAGCGGCAGGCUUAACACAUGCAAGUCGAGGGGCAGCACAGGUGGCAACACCGGGUGGCGACCGGCGUAAGGGUGCGUAACACGUGAGCAACAUACCCGUAUCUGGAGGAUAACCGGAGGAAACUCUGCCUAAUACUCCAUAAUAUCAUCGUACGGCAUCGUUUGGUGAUUAAAGAUUUAUCGGACACGGAUUGGCUCGCGGGACAUUAGCUUGUUGGAGGGGUAACGGCCCACCAAGGCUUCGAUCAGUAGCCGGUCUGAGAGGAUGAACGGCCACACUGGGACUGAGACACGGCCCAGACUCCUACGGGAGGCAGCAGUGGGGAAUCUUCCGCAAUGGACGAAAGUCUGACGGAGCAACGCCGCGUGAGUGAAGAAGGUUUUCGGAUCGUAAAGCUCUUUCGUUAGGGACAACGUGCUCUUUGUGAUAAUGAGGAGUAAUGACGGUACCUAAAUAAGAAGCCAACGGCUAACUACGUGCCAGCAGCCGCGGU
rnacentral:rRNA from 1 species